UGGGGAAUAUUGGACAAUGGGCGCAAGCCUGAUCCAGCCAUGCCGCGUGAGUGAUGAAGGCCUUAGGGUUGUAAAGCUCUUUCACCGAUGAAGAUAAUGACGGUAGUCGGAGAAUAAGCCCCGGCUAACUUCGUGCCAGCAGCCGCGGUAAUACGUAGGUG
rnacentral:rRNA from 1 species